GCCCGGGGGGCUCAAUAGGUUGAGCGUCUGACUGCGGCUCAGGUCAUGAUCUCGCAGUUCGUGGGUUCGAGCCCCACAACGGGCU
rnacentral:tRNA from 1 species